rnacentral:rRNA from 1 species
AUAGAGACUCAGAGCUGCAUAUCAAUAAGCGGAGGAAAAGAAACUAACAAGGAUUCCCUUAGUAACGGCGAGUGAAGCGGGAAGAGCUCAAAUUUGAAAUCUUCAAGGUUCUACCUUGACGAAUUGUAGUUUAUAGAAGUGUUUUCUGUUAGUGAAGUGGCUAAAAGUUCUUUGGAAUAGGACAUCAUAGAGGGUGAGAAUCCCGUAUUUGACGUCAUUCUCUAGCUGUUGUGAUACACUUUCAACGAGUCGGAUUGUUUGGGAAUGCAGUCCAAAAUGGGUGGUAAAUUUCAUCUAAAGCUAAAUAUUGGCGAGAGACCGAUAGCGAACAAGUACCGUGAGGGAAAGAUGAAAAGAACUUUGAAAAGAGAGUUAAACAGUACGUGAAAUUGUCAAAAGGGAAGCGUUUGACACCAGUGUUGUUUUUCCGAAAAUCAAUUACGAAUGUUUUAGUUUUUGAGGAGUUAUGACUUCAUCGGCUUGCUCCUUUCUUUAUGAAACUUUCUUAAUGCACUUUUCGGUUAACAAGUCAACAUCAAUUUCUUUUGUUGUAAAAGGGUAUGAGGAAGGUGGCUUUCUUUUCGGAGAAAGUGUUUAUAGCCUUGUACCUCUGCAAUCGGAGAGAUUGAGGUCUGCAGCGUAGAUCCUUCGGGGUUAGAUACAUUUGUGCUAAGUUAUAGCUUUUCAUAGACAACUUGUUGACUAUGUUUAAGUCUCGUAGCUUACUCGCUUACUGCUAUUUUACCUACGCUUAGGAUGUUGAUAGUCACAGCGUGUAC